UACGUAGGGUGCAAGCGUUGUCCGGAAUUAUUGGGCGUAAAGAGCUCGUAGGCGGUGUGUCGCGUCGGCCGUGAAAACCUGCAGCUUAACUGUGGGCUUGCGGUCGAUACGGGCAUCACUGGAGUUCGGCAGGGGAGAUUGGAAUUCCUGGUGUAGCGGUGAAAUGCGCAGAUAUCAGGAGGAACACCAACAGCGAAGGCAGAUCUCUGGGACGUAACUGACGCUGAGACGCGAAAGCGUGGGGAGCAAACAGG
rnacentral:rRNA from 1 species